AAAUUGAAGAGUUUGAUCAUGGCUCAGAUUGAACGCUGGCGGCAGGCCUAACACAUGCAAGUCGAACGGUAACAGGAAGUAGCUUGCUGCUUCGCUGACGAGUGGCGGACGGGUGAGUAAUGUCUGGGAAACUGCCUGAUGGAGGGGGAUAACUACUGGAAACGGUAGCUAAUACCGCAUAAUGUCGCAAGACCAAAGAGGGGGACCUUCGGGCCUCUUGCCAUCGGAUGUGCCCAG
rnacentral:rRNA from 1 species